UACAGAGACUGCAAGCGUUGUUCGGAAUUACUGGGCGUAAAGCGCACGUAGGCGGAUUGUUAAGUGAGGGGUGAAAUCCCAGGGCUCAACCCUGGAACUGCCUCUCAUACUGGCAAUCUCGAGUUCGAGAGAGGUGAGUGGAAUUCCGAGUUUAGAGGUGAAAUUCGUAGAUAUUCGGAGGAACACCAGUGGCGAAGGCGGCUCACUGGCUCGAUACUGACGCUGAGGUGCGAAAGUGUGGGGAGCAAACAGG
rnacentral:misc_RNA from 1 species